rnacentral:rRNA from 1 species
AAACAUGGCGUCAUGCUCAAAAUAUGAGGUCGGGCCUGCCCACUGGAUUGGAUUCUGAAGGGCCGCGGUAAGCCUGAACCGUGCUAAGGUAGCAUAAUAAUUUGCUUUUUAAAUGGAAGCUAGUAUGAAGGGCUUGACAAGGAAGGAGCUGUCUCCUUUAAAUUUAUGAAUUUAACUUUUAAGUUAAAAGGCUUAAAUGAACUAAAGGGACGAUAAGACCCUAUGAAACUUAAUGCUUUUUGAAGGGAUUUAUAAAAGAUAUAAUUGUAGGACACUACAGAAAGUAUUUCGUUGGGGCAACGGGAAUAAACCAAAAACUGUUUCUUANAAUAAGUUAAUUAUAAUUAGUUUAUGAUCCUUUUUAAAGAUUAAAAGAAUAAGUUACUCUAGGGAUAACAGCGCUAUUUUCUUUGAGAGGCCUUAUCGACAGGAGUAGUAGCGACCUCGAUGUUGAAUCAAGAUUUCUACCAGGCGCAGGAGUUUGGUAAGUUGGUCUGUUCGACCUUUAAAAUCUUACGUGAUCUGAGUUCAG